rnacentral:rRNA from 1 species
AUUGAACGCUGGCGGCAGGCUUAACACAUGCAAGUCGAACGAGUGGCGGACGGGAGAGUAAUGCUUGGGAAUCUAGCUUAUGGAGGGGGAUAACUACGGGAAACUGUAGCUAAUACCGCGUACCAUAGGAUGAGCCCAAUUGGUAUUAGGUAGUUGGUGAGGUAAAGGCUCACCAAGCCGACGAUCUCUAGCUGGUCUGAGAGGAUGAACAGCCACACUGGGACUUGGACGCGGCCCAGACUCCUCCGGGAGCAAGCAGUGGGGAAUAUUGCACAAUGGGAGCAGCCUGACGCAGCCAUGCCUCGGGAAUGAAGAAGUCCUUCGGGUUGUAAAGUUCUUUCGGUAGCGAGGCGUUAACUACAGAAGAAGCACCGGCUAACUCUGUGCCAGCAGCCGCGGUAAUAC